rnacentral:rRNA from 1 species
GACGAACGCUGGCGGCGUGCUUAACACAUGCAAGUGGAGCGACGAACCGGGCUUCGGCCCGGGGCAAAGCCGCGAACGGGUGAGUAUCACGUGGGUAACCUGCCCCGAUGACCGGGAUAACCCGAGGAAACUCGAGCUAAUACCGGAUGUGCUCCCAAUCCAUCAGGGUUGGAAGUAAAGGAAGCUUCGGCCUCCGCAUUGGGAUGGGCCCGCGGCCCAUUAGCUUGUUGGUGAGGUAACGGCUCACCAAGGCCACGAUGGGUAGCUGGUCUGAGAGGACGAUCAGCCACACUGGGACUGAGACACGGCCCAGACUCCUGCGGGAGGCAGCAGUGGGGAAUCUUGCGCAAUGCGCGAUAGCGUGACGCAGCAACGCCGCGUGAGGGAAGAAGGCCUUCGGGUUGUAAACCUCUUUCAGGAGGGACGAAGGUUCAGGCGCGAAUAGCGUCCUGGACUGACGGUACCUCCAGAAGAAGCCCCGGCUAACUACGUGCCAGCCGCCGCAGUAAUAC